rnacentral:rRNA from 1 species
GAGUAAUGUCUGGGAAACUGCCUGAUGGAGGGGGAUAACUACUGGAAACGGUGGCUAAUACCGCAUAACGUCGCAAGACCAAAGAGGGGGACCUUCGGGCCUCUUGCCAUCAGAUGUGCCCAGAUGGGAUUAGCUUGUUGGUGAGGUAACGGCUCACCAAGGCGACGAUCCCUAGCUGGUCUGAGAGGAUGACCAGCCACACUGGAACUGAGACACGGUCCAGACUCCUACGGGAGGCAGCAGUGGGGAAUAUUGCACAAUGGGCGCAAGCCUGAUGCAGCCAUGCCGCGUGUAUGAAGAAGGCCUUCGGGUUGUAAAGUACUUUCAGCGGGGAGGAAGGUGUUGUGGUUAAUAACCACAGCAAUUGACGUUACCCGCAGAAGAAGCACCGGCUAACUCCGUGCCAGCAGCCGCGGUAAUACGGAGGGUGCAAGCGUUAAUCGGAAUUACUGGGCGUAAAGCGCACGCAGGCGGUCUGUCAAGUCGGAUGUGAAAUCCCCGGGCUCAACCUGGGAACUGCAUUCGAAACUGGCAGGCUUGAGUCUUGUAGAGGGGGGUAGAAUUCCAGGUGUAGCGGUGAAAUGCGUAGAGAUCUGGAGGAAUACCGGUGGCGAAGGCGGCCCCCUGGACAAAGACUGACGCUCAGGUGCGAAAGCGUGGGGAGCAAACAGGAUUAGAUACCCUGGUAGUCCACGCCGUAAACGAUGUCUACUUGGAGGUUGUGCCCUUGAGGCGUGGCUUCCGGAGCUAACGCGUUAAGUAGACCGCCUGGGGAGUACGGCCGCAAGGUUAAAACUCAAAUGAAUUGACGGGGGCCCGCACAAGCGGUGGAGCAUGUGGUUUAAUUCGAUGCAACGCGAAGAACCUUACCUGGUCUUGACAUCCACAGAACUUUCCAGAGAUGGAUUGGUGCCUUCGGGAACUGUGAGACAGGUGCUGCAUGGCUGUCGUCAGCUCGUGUUGUGAAAUGUUGGGUUAAGUCCCGCAACGAGCGCAACCCUUAUCCUUUGUUGCCAGCGAUUAGG